rnacentral:rRNA from 1 species
CUAAGUAUAUUGUAUGUUGCCCGUACCGUAAACCGACACAGGUGGGUGGGAUGAGUAUUCUAAGGCGCGUGGAAGAACCCUGGUUAAGGAACUCUGCAAACUAGCACCGUAUCUUCGGUAUAAGGUGUGCCUACUUUGGUAUAUGGACUUGCUCCAAAAAGCUAGAGAGGUUGCAACAAAGAGUCCCUCCCGACUGUUUACCAAAAACACAGCACUUUGCUAACACGUAAGUGGAUGUAUAAGGUGUGACGCCUGCCCGGUGCUCGAAGGUUAACUGAUG